ensembl:lncRNA
UGGGCCAGGACAGGUAGGUGUGUAGAUGGGCCAGGACAGGUAGCAGGACAGGUAGGUGUGUAGAUGGGCCAGGACAGGUAGGCCAGGACAGGUAGGUGUGUAGGUGGGCCAGGACAGGUAGGUGUGCAGGACAGGUAGGUGUGUAGAUGGGCCAGGACAGGUAGCAGGACAGGUAGGUGUGUAGAUGGGCCAGGACAGGUAGGUCUAUAGGACAGGUAGCAGGACAGGUAGGUGUGUAGAUGGGCCAGGACAGGUAGCAGGACAGGUAGGUGUGUAGAUGGGCCAGGACAGGUAGCAGGACAGGUAGGUGUGUAGAUGGGCCAGGACAGGUAGGUGUGUAGAUGGGCCAGGACAGGUAGCAGGACAGGUAGGUCUAUAGGUGGGUCAGGACAGGUAGGUGUGUAGAUGGGCCAGGACAGGUAGCAGGACAGGUAGGUCUAUAGGUGGGGCAGGACAGGUAGGUGUGUAGAUGGGCCAGGACAGGUAGGUGUGUAGAUGGGCCAGGACAGGUAGCAGGACAGGUAGGUGUGUAGAUGGGCCAGGACAGGUAGGUGUGUAGAUGGGCCAGGACAGGUAGCAGGACAGGUAGGUGUGUAGAUGGGCCAGGACAGGUAGCAGGACAGGUAGGUGUGUAGAUGGGCCAGGACAGGUGGGCCAGGACAGGUAGGUGUGUAGGUGGGCCAGGACAGGUAGGUGUGUAGAUGGGCCAGGACAGGUAGGUGUGUAGAUGGGCCAGGACAGGCAGGUGUAUUCAGGUGUAUUGGCAGGUGUACAGGCAGCAGGACAGGCAGGUGUAUAGGCAGGUGUACAGGCAGGAGAACAGCCUCAACAACCUGUUAAAUAGACACAUUAAAAGUGCUACAGGACCUCCAUUGAAACGGUCUCAUCAUUACUCAGAGAAGUGACCCAGAUAUUCAGAAGUGACCAUGUAUUCAUGUUUUAUACACACAUAACUGACCACAAAUGUAUUACAAAUCUGGAGAGGAAGUGUGCUGCCUGCCGAUCACAUCCCGUUGUCCUCUGGUCCCAGAUCUAAGAGACAUCAUUCGUCCUCUGGUCCCAGAUCUAAGAGACAUCACGUCCCGUUGUCCUCUGGUCCCAGACCUAAGAGACAUCACGUCCCUCGUCCCCUGGUCCCAGAUCUAAGAGACAUCACGUCCGUCGUCCCCUGGUCCCAGAUCUAAGAGACAUCACGUCCCGUCGUCCCCUGGUCCCAGAUCUAAGAGACAUCACGUCCCGUCGUCCCCUGGUCCCAGAUCUAAGAGACAUCACAUCCUGUUGUCCCAGAUCUAAGAGACAUCACAUCCUGUUGUCCCAGAUCUAAGAGACAUCACGUCCUGUUGUCCCAGAUCUAAGAGACAUCACGUCCUGUUGUCCCAGAUCUAAGAGACAUCACGUCCUGUUGUCCCAGAUCUAAGAGACAUCACAUCCUGUCGUCCUCUGGUCCCAGGUCUAAGAGACAGAAUGUGAAAACAGAAAAAGGCUAAUUACCUCCAAAGCGAACGAUGACAAUCAAACUACUGAGACGUGUUUACCAUCAGGAUUGAGUAGUGUGGACAGGGUAGUGUGGACAGGGAAUAGUGCAUCCCAAAUGGCACCCUAUUCCCUAAUAUUGUGCACUAUUUUUGGACCAGAGCCCAAGUCAAAUCAAAUCAAAUUUAUAAAGCCCUUCUUCUCAUCUGAUGUCUCAAAGUGCUGUACAGAAACCCAUCCUAAAACCCCAAACAGCAAGCAAUGCAGGUGUAGAAGCACGGUGGCUAGGAAAAACUCCCUAGCAGUGCACUAUAUAGGGAGUAGGGUGCCACUUGGGAUGCAAACCCUACAAAAGCAGAUGGAGACGUAGUAACCUUGGGUCAUCAAGAGAUUACAACACACCAAGAGAUAACCACACAGUUUACCAUUACCACAGCAAGAGAUAACCACACAGUUUACCAUUACCACACCAAGAGAUAACCACACAGUUUACCAUUACCACAGCAAGAGAUAACCACACAUUUACCAUUACCACACCAAGAGAUAACCACACAGUUUACCAUUACCACACCAAGAGAUAACCACACAGUUUACCAUUACCACACCAAGAGAUAACCACACAGUUUACCAUUACCACACCAAGAGAUAACCACACAGCUCACCAUUAUGGAGACACCACACCAAGAGAUAACCACACAGCUCACCAUUAUGGAGACACCACACAGCUCACCAUUACGGGGAUACUAGAGCUUACCAUUACAGAUACCAACACCAAGAGAACCACACAGCUCACCAUUACGGAGAUACCACACAGCUCACUGUUAUGGAGAUACCACACAGCUCACCGUUAUGGAGAUACUAGAGCUUACCAUUACAGAUACCAACACCAAGAGAACCACACAGCUCACCAUUACGGAGAUACCACACAGCUCACCAUUACGGAGAUACUAGAGCUUACCAUUACAGAUACCACACCAAGAGUUAAACACACAGCUUACCGUUACGGAGAUACUAGAGCUUACCAUUAUAGAUACCACACAGCUCACCAUUAUGGAGAUACUAGAGCUUACCAUUACAGAUACCAACACUAAGAGAACCACACAGCUCACCAUUACAGAUGCCACACCAAGAGAACCACACAGCUCACCAUUACAGAGAUACUACACCAAUAGAUAAACAGAACUUACCGUUAUGGAGAUACCACACAGCUCACCAUUACGGAGAUACCACACAGCUCACCAUUAUGAAGAUACUAGAGCUUACCAUUACAGAUACCAACACCAAGAGAUACCACACAGCUCACCAUUACGGAGAUACUAGAGCUUACCAUUACAGAUGCCACACCAAGAGAACCACACAGCUCACCAUUACGGAGAUAGCAUACCGAGAAACAGAACUUACCAUUAAGGAGAUACCAGACAGCUCACCAUUACGGAGAUACUACACCAAUAGAUAAACAGAACUUACCGUUAUGGAGAUACCACACAGCUCACCAUUAUGGAGAUACUAGAGCUUACCAUUACAGAUACCAACACCAAGAGAACCACACAGCUCACGAUUACGGAGAUACCACACAGCUCACUGUUACGGAGAUACCACACAGCUCACCGUUAUGGAGAUACUAGAGCUUACCAUUACAGAUACCAACACCAAGAGAACCACACAGCUCACCAUUACGGAGAUACCACACAGCUUACCAUUACGGAGAUACCACACAGCUCACCAUUAUGGAGAUACCACACAGCUCAC